GUCCCCGUCGAUUAGUGGUCAAAUCAUCUCGUUGUGGUGAACACGCAAUCCGAGAAGCCGGAGGUUCGAAUCCUCCCCGGGACA
rfam:Fistulina hepatica ATCC 64428 unplaced genomic scaffold FISHEscaffold_349, whole genome shotgun sequence.